rnacentral:rRNA from 1 species
UGGGGGAUAUUGCACAAUGGGCGAAAGCCUGAUGCAGCGACGCCGCGUGGGGGAUGAAGGCUUUCGGGUUGUAAACCUCUUUCGCUACCGAACAAGGCCGCAGUUUUUGUUGUGGUUGAGGGUAGGUGGAUAAGAAGCGCCGGCUAACUACGUGCCAGCAGCCGCGGUAAUACGUAGGGCGCGAGCGUUGUCCGGAAUUAUUGGGCGUAAAGAGCUCGUAGGCGGUUUGUUGCGUCUGCUGUGAAAACGCGGGGCUUAACUCCGCGCGUGCAGUGGGUACGGGCAGGCUAGAGUGCGGUAGGGGAGAUUGGAAUUCCUGGUGUAGCGGUGGAAUGCGCAGAUAUCAGGAGGAACACCGAUGGCGAAGGCAGAUCUCUGGGCCGUUACUGACGCUGAGGAGCGAAAGCAUGGGGAGCGAACAGG